rnacentral:lncRNA from 1 species
UCACAUAAUAAGUCCCAUUCAUCAACAUAAAUCAUAGGUUCAGUCCAACAAAAUAAAAGUCUAGCAACAUAAAAAUAUCGCCAUCUAGUGAAGUGUUUCAAGUUCAACAAAAUAAAAGUCUAACAACAUAAAAAUAUCGCCAUCUAGUGCCCGUUCUUGGAGUCCAAUCCACAAAUAGUUCUUCAUAUCAGGACAUACUCAUCCUGAAAAUUUCAAGAUGAAAAUAUAAGAACAUAUCAGGCUGAAAUCAAGUGAAUCCAAUUAGGAAAAGGCAUAAGUUUUAUAAUUUGUAGACUCAAUAUAAUCUUAUCUCAAUAAUGGAUCAAUUUGCUCAAACUAACCAUCAACGUCAAUAGUGGAGAUCGAGGAGGAUUCCGUUUGAGGUUCAUCAUCGCCAUGUAGAAAGUUUUCGGCUAACUCACAUGUUGGUACUUCGCUUUUGAAGGCUUUGAAGAAAAAAAAAUUAGAAUUGGUAUAUAUAUCAAUAAUUUAAAAUGUCAACAUUANUUAUAACCUGAAUUUGACCUGAUUAAACACGAACACAGUAAUUACACGAAUUUGACCUGAUUAAAACAACACAAUAAUAAUACAAUAAUAUGUGAAUUACAUAUCAAAUUAACCACUGAACAGAUUCAUGGUUUGAAAAAACAAUGAAAUUUAAAAGCUCACAUAAUAAGUCCCAUUCAUCAACAUAAAUCAUAGGUUGAGUCCAACAAAAUAAAAGUCUAGCAACAUAAAAAUAUCGCCAUCUAGUGAAGUGUUUCAAGUUCAACAAAAUAAAAGUCUAACAACAUAAAAAUAUCGCCAUCUAGUGCCCGUUCUUGGAGUCCAAUCCACAAAUAGUUUUCAUAUCAGGACAUACUCAUCCUGAAAAUUUCAAGAUGAAAAUAUAAGAACAUAUCAGGCUGAAAUCAAGUGAAUCCAAUUAGGAAAAGGCUAAGUUUUAUAAUUUGUAGACUCAAUAUAAUCUUAUCUCAAUAAUGGAUCAAUUUGCUCAAACUAACCAUCAACACAAUAGUGGAGAUCGAGGAGGAUUCCGUUUGAGGUUCAUCAUCGCCAUGUAGAAAGUCUUCGGCUAACUCACAUGUUGGUACUUCGCUUUUGAAGGCUUUGAGAAAAAAAAAUAUGAAUUGGUAUAUAUAUCAAUAAUUUAAAAUAGUCAACAUUAAUAACACAAAGAAGUUAUACCUUUUUUCUCCAAACAACCAAUCUCUAGUGCAAAUAAUUGCCUCCACUGUGCUUUCUUUAAGUGAGCUACGAUAUUGAUCAAGUACUCUUCCACCAACACUAAAAACAGCUUCGGAAGCCACCGUAGUUAUGGGAAUGCUCAAAAUAUCACGAGCCAUGCGAGCUACUUGUGGAUACUUGUAUUGAUUCCCUUUCCAAAAGCCAAGAACAUCAAGAUUGGAUUUGGCAUCCAAUCUUGCUUCUUGCAUAUACAACUCUAAUUGUGACUUUUGUUCGCUUAAUCCAAACUCAUCCAAAGACACUAAAACUCUGUAGUUAAAAUACAAAUGAAAAUUUUAAUUAACAAGUAAGAAAUUUGAAUAAUAUUAAUAACAUAAGUAAAUAUAAUUUAGUAAUUUACCUCAACCACCGCUUUAGAUUCUUCGUUUGUGAAUUCACAGGUUGAAUCAUUUAAUGUCGGACCCCCACUUCUAGUAAGACCAAAACUGUCACUGUUGCUCUUAUGAUAUUCUUCAAAUAGAGCAAAUAACUUCUCUCUUACUAGUGAACACUGACGAGAGUUAGGGCCAUACAACUUCUUAUAAAAGAAUUCCACAAACUGAAACUUAUAGCGUGGAUCAAAGACCACAGCCAUAGUCAAGAUCAAGCUGAAAUCGGACCAAUACUUCUCAAACUUUGGUAGCAUCUUCUCAGCCAUUUUCUUUAUAUAAACAUCCGAACUAUUGCAACUUUGUCUCAAUGAACUGUAGCACAUGACAACGGGCUGAAAAUACAAAUUUGUUGUAGGAUAAUUGCUACCAGAAAACAAGUUCGAGACAUCGUAGAACAAGCUCAAGAAACCACGAAUCUUCUCAAUUCUAUCCCAUUCAACUGAAGAAGGACAAUGCUUGUAGUUGGGAUCAACAAGUUGAAAAUUCAUGAAUGCUUUCCUAUAAUAUAGUGCAUUAUCAAGCAUCAAAAAGGUAGAAUUCCACCUAGUAGGGACGUCCUGCCUUAGUCCUCUCUUACUUUGCAAAGAUAACUUGCUUACACAUUCCAAAAAUUUCUGCCUCCUCAUUUGUGAACCCCUCACAUAUUUCACACUUUCACGGAUCUUAACAACAGAAUUUUCAAUAUCAUUCAAACCAUCUUGGACUACCAAAUUGAUAAUAUGUGCACAACAACGGAUAUGGAAGAAUUCACCAUCACAAAGAAGUGCAUUAUUCAAGUUCAACUGUGAGAUCAACAACUCAACAGACACAUCAUUUGCACUAGCAUUAUCCAAAGUCAAAGAAAAUACUUUGUUUUCAAUCCCCCAGUCACAAAGCAUGGAAAACAACUUAUUUGAUAAUGCUACACCAGUAUGAGGAGAUGGCAUCAAAGAAAAAUUCAACACCUUCUUACGUAACACCCAUUCCUCAUCAAUGAAGUGACAAGUAAGAGAAAUAUAACCAUCUGUUGUAAUAGAACUCCAACAAUCAGAAGUCAAGGAAAUUCUACCACAUGCUUUUUGCAAUUCAGACUUAAUCUUCAUCUUUUCUCUUUCAUACAAUUUCAAAACAUCAGCCUUCACUGUAUUUCUAGUAACCAUCUUAAUAUCCCACUUAAGAUACUCAAAAAUAGCUAUAAUGCGUUCAUAUUCAACGAAUCGAAAUGGCAAAUCAUGAACAACAAUAGCAGCACACAAUAACUCCCUAAAGUGAUCAGGAUCAAAUUUUGUUUUACUAGUAGUCAUCAAUUCACCAACAUCAUGUGUAUUCUUCCUUUGACAACCAUCUAAAUGACGUUUCAAGUUUCCAGUUCCACAUUUGCUUGUCACUUUGUAAUAACGAUGCCCACAAUAGACACACACACAUGUUUUGGAACCAUCUGCACUAGUAGUAACUUUAUAGUGAUUCCAACAGCUGACCUCGGUUUUCUUUUGUUCGUUGGGGGCUUAGCUGUAGGAUUGGACGUCCCUAAACCAGUUUCUGCAUCUGUGGCAGCAGAAGGGGCAACAGCUGCAGGGCUAGCAGUAGAAGCAAUACAAGGCAUUUCACUUGUAUAUGUCGUAAAAGUAUUUUCAUCACCAUCGGUAUCAUCAUUGCUAGACAUAAUUACCUA